rnacentral:tRNA from 1 species
UCCCUGGUGGCUCAGAGGUUAAAGCGUCUGCCUGCAGUGCAGGAGACGCGGGCUCAAUCCCUGAGCUGGGAA